rnacentral:rRNA from 1 species
CUGUACCUCCGUCGUGUCCCUUAGUCCCCGUUAGUACCCCGUUAGGUACCCUUAGGACCGUUUACGUACGUACCUUAGUUACGACGUUAAGGUCGUAAGGUACUCGAAACGUUUGACGUACGUAGUCGUAAUACGGAACUAGUCGAAGUUCGUAGUACGUAGGUACUUAGUACGGGUUAACGGUACGUACGUACGUACGUAGGUAGUGNGUAGNGACGAGAGAGAGUAUAGUANGUAGAGAAGUUUGCGGCUCAAACCGUAAAAUUGCUAGUUGAUACGUUGGUUUCCUUGAGUGCUAGUUGAGGCAGGACGGUAAUUCGUGGUGUAGCGGUAGAAAUGUCUUAGAUAUCACGAACGAACCCGAUUGCGAAGGCAGCUUGCUAAACUGUAACUGACGUUGUCGACGCGGCCG